rnacentral:tRNA from 1 species
GGCUCGUUGGUCUAGGGGUAUGAUUCUCGCUUUGGGUGCGAGAGGUCCCGGGUUCGAAUCCUGGACGAGUCC